AACGAACGCUGGCGGCAUGCCUAACACAUGCAAGUCGAACGAGACCUUCGGGUCUAGUGGCGCACGGGUUCGUAACGCGUGGGAACCUUCCCUUAGGUUCGGAAUAACUCUCCGACAGGGGUGCUAAUACCGGAUAAUGUCUUCUGACCAAAGAUUUAUUGCCUUUGGUUGGACCCGAGUUGGAUUAGAUAGUUGGUAGGGUAAUAGCAUACUAAGGCGACGAUGAACAGAUGGUAUGAGAGGCUGAUCAGCGACACUGGGACUGAGAAGCGGCCGAGACUCCUACGGGAGGCAGGAGUGGGGGAUAUUGGAACGUGGGCGGAAGCCUGAUGCAGCUAUGACGGGUAAGUGAUGAAGGCCGUAGGGAUGUAAAGCGCUUUUACCCGGGAUGAUAAUGACAGUACCGAGAGAAUAAGCCCCGGCUAACUCCGUG
rnacentral:rRNA from 1 species